GAUGAACGCUGGCGGCAUGCCUAAGACAUGCAAGUCGAACGAGGAGACCUUUGGAAGAUGGAGUGCUUGCACAAAGUUAGAAGAAGAUUAUCUCCUAGUGGCAGACGGGUGAGUAACACGUGGGUAACCUACCUUUAAGCUGGGGAUAACAGUUGGAAACGAUUGCUAAUACCGAAUGUGAUCUACGGAUUAAAGAAGCCUUUAAAGCUUCGCUUGAAGAUGGGCCUGCGGUGCAUUAGCUAGUUGGUGAGGUAACGGCCCACCAAAGGCGAACGAUGCAUAGCCGAACUGAGAGGUUAAUCGGCCAACAUUGGGACUGAGACACGGCCCAUAACUCCUACGGGAGGCAGCAGUAGGGAA
rnacentral:rRNA from 1 species